rnacentral:rRNA from 1 species
UGGGGAAUAUUGCGCAAUGGGGGAAACCCUGACGCAGCAACGCCGCGUGCGGGAUGAAGGCCUUCGGGUUGUAAACCGCUUUCAGCAGGGAAGAUCCAAGACGGUACCUGCAGAAGAAGCCCCGGCUAACUACGUGCCAGCAGCCGCGGUAAUACGUAGGGGGCGAGCGUUAUCCGGAUUCAUUGGGCGUAAAGCGCGCGCAGGCGGGUUGCUAAGCGGGACCUCUAAUCUCAGGGCUCAACCUUGAGCCGGGUCCCGAACUGGCAGCCUCGGGUUCGGUAGGGGAGAUCGGAAUUCCCGGUGUAGCGGUGGAAUGCGCAGAUAUCGGGAAGAACACCGAUGGCGAAGGCAGAUCUCUGGGCCGCAACCGACGCUGAGGCGCGAAAGCUAGGGGAGCGAACAGG